rnacentral:lncRNA from 1 species
GUUAACGAUGAGGUUAAGGCUGCCCUUUAUGUUAGUAUUGAUAAUCAUCUUAUUUUGAGCAUCGUAGCAGCGAUAUGCCUUUUCAUUGGUGUCCUCGUCUCAAUGUACCUUUUAUAUAUCGUCAACAAUUAUCGGCAG